rnacentral:misc_RNA from 1 species
CAAAAGCGCCCCGGCCUUGUGCCGGUGGACAGCGAACUUGUCGCCAGAAAUGGAGGCAAUGUUUGUCAACCCUUUGUGAAACUUAUACCUUUGCUUCGGCAGCGCUCUCAGCGGGCAACCGCUGGAGGGGUAAGGCUGCCAGAAGCCCAUAUCAAAACCAGUUGAUGAAAUGUCAUGCUGUCUGAUAACCACUUUUGAGAAAUCAAAUGUAUAUUA